GACUUUUUCUUUUUUUCCACUUUCUUUUUUCUUUACAUAGCAUAAGAGACAGGUCAGACAUGCAUUACAAGCCCGAAGAUCUACUUUGUCUUGCUGCCCUUGAAACUGACAUUCAAGUGCCUGAAAAUGCUCAUGUACUCCACAUUUUCUCUUGAACAAUCCUUCACAGAAAACUUUAACCUACUACAACAGGAAUAGUCCUUCUUAUCCAUGAGAGGAUGAUUAGUUCUCAAGGAAAGGAGUUAAAAAUUAUCUUCAGUAAAUAACAAGUAGAGGCACAGACAACAUCAGUGUCCAAGAACUUAAGAACACCUAAUUUACCGAUAUAGAGCUCACCAAUGUCACCCCUGAUCAAAGGACCCACUGGCAACAGUAGAUGCAAUGUAUGCAUGACCACAAGACCUAAUAAUUCCACCAUAUCCCACAUCACUUGGAAGCAGCUGACCUGAAGAAUUACAGGAGGUGAUUUAAUAUGUGAAGCUAUCUACCAGGGCAGGGUGAUAAAACUGAUACAUAUAAUUUGUAUAAUUUGCGUUGGAGAUCAAUGCCUUCUGGAACUUUACUUUCCUAUGUUUCUCAAUUGUAUCUAAUAUUUAUAAUUUUUAAUCCUCUAAAACCAUAUUUUCUGUAAGAUU